GCCAUCGUCUCCGGUCGCCCCGUAUAGGAGUGCCCCGACGCACGCACACACACACACACACACACACACACACACACACACACGUCACACACACCCACAUACACGAGCGCCGUCGACCCAAGUCCCGCGAGGAAACGCGUGCCGCUACGGUCUACCACGUGCGCUUUUUUUUCUUUUAGUUAUUUCCGUUAUUUUUAUUUCCACUUGCUGUGGUGAACGGUCCGUCAUCCGUCCGGAAAAUAUAUCAGUUAGUUCGACUGUGUCGCAGCAAACAUUACCACUUCCACCAUGCAGUCUAUGCGAUAUUGCACCUUUAACGACGACAUUAUUUUUUUUAGCCGUACCGAAAUCUGUGCGAGUGCUGCAUGGAGCUUGUUGCCGCUAAAAAUGCAUUCAUGAUAAUAAUAUUAUUAUUCGUGUACACGCGUCGUCGUCAGGUACGGUAUACAUUCGUGCGGAAACGAUGUCUCGUACUAUCCACAUAGGCAGAGCUGCAGUGUAGACCAGAUUCAUCAUUUAUACAACUCGUCUGUAUAAUAAUCUAAAUACUUGGCGAACGAGCGAAACUUAUUUUUUGUAGAUUCUACAAAAUUACGCACCAGUAAUCUAAAGGUUAGACUUUUAAGGACUCCGGUCAACUGGGUCAAUGCUAUCUAACCGAUAUAAUCUCUGAUUUUAUCAAACUGCUGUUAUAAGUAUUUUUUUUCACAUUAUAAUUUUCUAAAAUAAUUAAACACAUUAUUAGAUAUCUUUAUUUAUAGCAUAUUUUUAUUUUUUAAGGAGGACCUUCAACACGACAAUUUAUUCUUUGACAUGAUCAACAAAGAGUUACAUGCAGAUUAUUGAUUAUAUCAUUUAAUUACAUCAAAAUCGUCAAGGGGAAAUAUGGUUUUAAAUAUUUUAUUAUAAAUAAUCAUUAUAUAUAAGAAUGUGUUUAAGCCUUGCAGUUGAAGCAUAAACGACGAACGAUGUCGAGUCACACCAGGCUUAUAAUGCAUGAUGCAUGGUAGUAUACAAUAUAAAAUUAUACCAGCUAAUAGUAUAAUUAUACGUGGUUGAUUUUAAUCUGUUCACUCCGGCGGCGUUAUAUUAAAUCGAAGAUGAUGAUGAGCAAAAUAUGUUUCUAUUUCUCUAAAAAAACACAGCGGUCGCGGAAGAACAGCUACACUAUACGAUAAUAGGGUAUACAGGCAACAAAGCAACACCAAAAUUCAACAUUGAACAUUGUUAACUAUGAUCCAGAUUAUAAAUAUUAAAGUAUCCGUUUUCGAGAAAUUAUCCUUUCAACGUUUUCAGAUCGUUCGAAAUUGAAAGAAGUUAAGUACUUGUCUAAAAAAUGUGACCGAAAAUGAGAUCUCACUCGCAAUCACCGUUGUCGUCGUUUCGUUUGAUGUUUCUGGAACCGAAUAAACGCCAGACAGAAAAAGACCUCUCUGGCUACACGCUAUACUGUAAAUAUCGCUUUACUAAACAAAACAUCGGUGUAUCAUGCUAUUAAAACAGUUAAAUGGCAUAUUAUACUUUAAAUCGUUUAGAUCGAUAAUAUCAUGUUAUAUGGUUAUUAUAACGUGCGUGGACGUACAUAUUUUAAUGGACAGACUGCUACUAUUAGUGUUUAAACGAGGUAUACUCUAGAGGGGGGAUGUCCUAUCUUUAAUUUAAU